rnacentral:rRNA from 1 species
UACGUAGGGUGCGAGCGUUGCCCGGAUUUACUGGGCGUAAAGGGCGCGUAGGCGGCCACCGCAAGUCGACUGUGAAAUCUCCGGGCUUAACCCGGAACGGUCAGCCGAUACUGCGGGGCUAGAGUGCAGAAGGGGCAACUGGAAUUCUCGGUGUAGCGGUGAAAUGCGUAGAUAUCGAGAGGGAACACCGAUGGCGAAGGCAGCCCCCUGGGCCGACAUUGACGCUCAGGCACGAAAGCGUGGGGAGCAAACAGG